UCAGGGGAAGUGCUCGGGAGAGGAGAGGCUGUGGUUGGCUGUUUUGUUUUGGGGCUCUUCCUGGCUCUUGGAAAAGCUAGAUGUGCCUAACUAACUGCAAAAAAGACGAAGUUGAAGGAGCUCUUCUAGAAGCUGCCUGGUGCAGUUACCGUGGUGACAGAGAUGAAAGGAGGAGUCUUCGGACAUGACUCUACGUGCCAGACCUCACCUGGAUCCUCCCGCUGUCACCUGGACUCGCUGCCCUGGAGACACACUUUGCAGUGCCUGAGCUUGUUCCAGUUCCCAGAGUGCCUGGAACCCUUGCCAGUGAGAUGCAAGUAAAGAACGAGAUAAGUACUAAGAAUGUGGUUGACCGGGCUUGGUCCCCUCCGCAAACACAUACUGGAUACCCAGCGGGAGACUUUCCAUGCUUGAACCCUCCUGGUGUGAUACCCACAAGAAAAGGACAUUGCUGACUGGAACCAGAGUGUGUGGCCCCGUCCCCAUCCCCAACCCCGCCCCACCCCACUCCAGCUCCAAGCCAUGUCCUCACCAACUUAACACCCAACACGGGUCUCUAGUAGCUUCUGGCGUUUCAGAGACCAAGGAAGGUCAAGUUUGCCGAAAGUCCUGGACUCCUCUGGCUUCUCUACACUCAGAGCUUACAGUUAGGAGAGCCCUCAUUCUCUCGUGAGCUCCCAUGCAGCCCCUUGCUCCGGUUACACUCUGCUGAAGCAGUCUGCCCGUCGUGGCCUGCUAACUGGUCUUCCGUGGAGAAACCUUGACCUUCAGAGCCAUACCCCACAUGGCUGUUCAGCUGUGGCCUCCAUCCUACUCCCGCCUUCAGUCCUCAGCUCUGAGGCUACACCCCAUUGUCUUGGUCUCUGGCCCCCUGCUUAGCAGCUGGCUCAUUUGCCACCCACACACAGCUUGCAGAUACCCUGUUCUUUCUUCUGGCUGUGGGUAGGUCCUGCUCAGACACUGCUUCUGUGACCCGCAACCCAAGGGGACAGGGAUCCGACUCAUACUCCAUUCCUGGGCUGCUUUUGCCAUAGCUGAUCCAAGAUAAAGUGGAGUCAAGAUGUCAUAUCUAGUAUGUAUUCUAAGUUCUAGGCUUUAGAGAGUCCAAACCAAUAUCUUCUCUUUUCCUUGCAUGGAGUCUCCACAAGAGAAACCAGGACCCUUUUUGUAGGUUUGCCUCCUCCAUGUCAGACAGGAUGUUUCUAAUGGGCACAGGCUUCCUUCAGUAAACCCCUCAAAGGGGCCCUUUCCCAUCAAUUGGGAAGUUGCUGCUAUCUUUUCCAUUGGAUCUGCAAAGAGUGGGUACCAAGGACCUUCUUGCUGUUUGGUAACAGAAAACAGGCUAAGACCUUGUGAGGAAGAAGAGAAUGAAAAAGUGUGGAAGAAAAGUAGAUGGGGAGAAAGAGAAUUAACACAAUUUUUCUUUUUUUUUAACAUUUUUUUUCUUAAAUUUUACUCCAUAUUGGUCUAUAUUCAUGCCUAUUCUGAUACUAUUGUUGAAUAAAGAGCCCAUGUGACUUGAUUAACAGGCAUGAAAGGCAAUGCUCACAAGGAGACAACCAAGAAAAUGGGAGUGUCUAAAAUGGAUCUGUGUUCAAUUUCACAGACAGCCAAGAAAAUGAAGUCUAUCCCUCCAGGAGGCAAGUUCACACCUGUUACAGGGGCAAGAAUUGAAAAGGACUGCCACUUCCGAUAGUAGAGGACUGCUUUGUCAAGAAAUUGAAGAGUUUGGGAACUUGCCCUCCCCUUGCACAUUGACACAUUUCAUAUUUAUGAAUGAAUGCUCCAGAAAAAUGAGGUACUUGGGUCAUGGAUGAGGGUUUCUUGGGGACAAAAACAGAUGCAGGACACACGGCCUAUACUGCUUCUUCCUACCCAGUCCCACAGGCCACAAGCAGCAGACACUCCACACCCAUGACAGAGAAAAUAAUUUUCUCUGCUUGUAUCCAAGAGAGAAGCAGCUAUCUGUCCAUCUGCCCCUUCCCACCCCCAUCUCCCUCUGGAAAAGGCGAAAGAAAAGCCUUUGUUUCUUGGGAGAUGAUCCUAGAUUCUCACCCUAGCCUUUUGGAAUAUAAGACGACUCUCUUUAAGAGUCCUAAUUUGUCUCAGGCUUUUGGAACCCGAGGGAGAUCUCCAAGGUGUGGAGGGUAAAGGACUCGAGGAGGUGGGGAUCAGGCAGUCCCUCCAUCUUAACCUCCUAAGAGUUUCGCCUGGAAUGUUUCCUGAACUUCAAUUAUUUGUUCAUCUUAGGGAGUUAACUGAAGGUUAACAGGCCACCUGGUCUGUGUCCCAGGAGUAUUAAGACUCCCAAGAGUCUUUUUUUUUUUUUUAGCUUUAACAAAAUAUAAGAUAAAACAAAAGUCAUCACAUCGAAGUUGGACAGGGCAAACUAACAGAAGGAAAGGAGCCCAAGAGAAGACACUAGAAUCAGAGACCCACUGGUUCCCACACUCUGGAGUCUCAUGAAAAUAUCAAAAAUUGAAAGCUAUAAUAUACAUGCAGAGGACCUGGCUCAGACCCAAGGUUUUCACUAAGCUGCAGAGAGUGUAGUUAGGGUGGAAAUGACACCCUGACAAUUUCUUGUGGGGAGGAAGGGACCCAGGAAAGUCAGCUCUGACCACACAACUUUGACUCCAGAAAUUUCACUUUGUGGAAUCGUGACAAAGAUAAAGCAUGAAGUCAAGAGAAAAUACAAGAAAUACAUUUGCAGGAUGACUGAGAUUGACGGACCUGAAAGCAAACCGCAAAGAAAGCGAUGCAGCGGAAGCGGCAGAGCUAGAGCGACAGGCCCCCAGAGCCGAGCUUGGAAACCCUCGGAGGGGGGGGUGUGGUGAACUGCCCACCCUGCUGCCCACACCGAAAAACUACAACCUGUGUUUCCUAGCUUUUUUUUUUUUUUUUCUGUAAGUUGUAAAGCUGGAAACAGAGCAAAUGGCAGGGUUUUUUUUUGUUGUUGUUGUUUUGUUUUGUUUUUUUUCCCCUCCCCCAGUUCAGCCAGUUUGUGUCAAUGUUUUGGUCUUUCAGUUUUCCUUUGAGGAUGUCUCCGAUAACAAACCUGAGAGAACAGCUGUGACUACAGACCUAAGCUCAUGUAGUACUAUUGCACUGUGCUACACUGUUUUGAAAUGAUCCUUCUAUACCCUGAUCUGGAAUACUUUUCAUUGCCUACUUAAAUGAAAACUGCAAAACACAGCUCUCACUCCAAAAGGAAUAAGAUAAUUUGUUCUGAGCUGAAGAUGAGUUACCAAUGCCCAGAAACUCACAUGAAAGUUAGAUGUGAUAUAACUCUCCUCCAUGGUAGAGGUUACGUGAAUGUUCAUACAUAUAGAACAAAAUGUCAUAGAUGGAGGUGGGUUUGCCCCAUACCGUGGUGGGAACACUAGAAAAAUAGUCCUGGAAGGGAAAGGACACCUCUUCAAAGGACUGAGGCUCGGUCUGGGGAUGGGUGGGAGCUAGCAGUCCCACUCAGUGAACACAUUCCAAAAGUUUUACCUGGCAGUAACAAUGGCAUUAGGUCAGACUCAGAGCCUGGUCACUAAUGGCUUUUAAGGGGGACAAGUUAGCUGGAGGUCAUUUUGGCAGUUGAUCUACAAUACUCCCGUCUCCCGGUCUGGAUUUCUGAUUGGUCAGUUGCUACAGAAUCUUUCAUGUGGAUGUGGUCUUUUCCGGGAACUGCAAUUGACAGAAUGGGAGAAGACAUGGAGACUCGGCAAUAGGUGAGAAGAGUUUAAAUUCAUCCAAGAAGAGUGCAGGCCCAGCUCGGUGUCAACGGGAAUAUAAAAUUCCGUGGGUUUAUACUAAGUUACAGACGGCAUCCGCUUGUGGACAAGGGCUAUGAUAGGAACAAAUUGGAAGUAUUUUCUUAGGGACUCAGGUUUAUUCACUCAACUAUAUUGUCUACUCUGUGUCAGGCACUGUAUCCCCCCCUCCCCCGCCAGCCCUGCGGUGCUGAGCAGCAGCCUCAGCACCAUAGGAAUUGCUCUCCAACGGUAGGGGUGAGGGUGUUAUAGCCAGACAUAAAUGUGUCUCCCAAUGUCAGGAGGCAGAAAUACCUUGUUGAAAAACCUAAACUGGGUGUCUCAGAGACAGGGCUGCUAUUUGAAAUGGGGUGAUGGGGAAGGCUUCCCUUAAGGUACAGUAACUGAGCAGAGACCCAAAGAAAGAGGGUGCCAAUCGCAGUGCUUUUGUGGCAAGCACCAUUUUGUGGUUCAUUUCUAUUCUCUCUCCAGGGACUCCAUAGCACCCCAAACCCAACCCUAGCACUGUGUAUCUUCUAGUGUAAGAAGACACCUGGCUCAAUAGCCAAUCAUCUUAGUUUCUCUGCAUUCCAAAAAAUAAUACUGGGCAACAAAAAUUGGUAAAGAAAAAUGGAUUUAUUUACAGUUUGGACAAAAGAGAUGAAGACUUUGAUUUUCUCCUGCAGUGCCCUGUAGUGUGUGUCACCUUUUAUAUGUGCACAGAGACACACAUACACAGGAAGUGUAAGAGAGGAUGCUGCUAGGUGCAAGGCUCUGGUGCCCAGCUCUCCAGGGACCUCCUGGAGAAGUGCUAAUUCCUGUUUAUUUCCUCGGGGUUCGAGGACACAGUGUUCUGCCACAGAGCAGAGGUCUAGCUACCAUCUACCCUUUUCCUACUGGAAAAGCACCAUUGCUGUUAAUUGCAUAGAACAGCCCUGUUCUGGAAAAUGUGUAGUAUGAGAAUGUAAAGUACGCAAUCUGAAGAGGCGUAUUCCAGGCUCAGCUCCUGCUUUUCUAUUAUGUGACCUUGACCCUGUGUAACUCUAACAAGGAUUUUACCUAUCCCACAAAAACAAUUCAUUGUAAAGACUUCAUUGGUGUCGGUACAGAAGUGUUAAAUCUGUAUCUUACUGUUAUCGGUUUCUUGAGACAGCUUUGGCUGUCCUGAGUUCUGUUUGUAGACCAGGCUGGCCUCAAACUCACAGAGAUCCUCUUGCCUCUCCAUGCUCUUCCUUCUUACUGUUAUCGUUAUUGCUACUAACUUGAGAGUCAGCUCUUGUUGAACUUGGAGGAUUCUUUUCCCAA